rnacentral:rRNA from 1 species
AUUGAACGCUGGCGGCAGGCCUAACACAUGCAAGUCGAACGAGUGGCGGACGGGUGAGUAAUGUCUGGGAAACUGACUGAUGGAGGGGGAUAACUACUGGAAAAGGUAGAUAAUACCGCAUACCAUCGGAUGUGCCCAGAUGGGAUUAGCUAGUAGGUGGGGUAAAGGCUAACCUAGGCGACGAUCCCUAGCUGGUCUGAGAGGAUGACCGUCCACACGGGAACUGAGAAACGGUCCAGACUCCUACGGGAGGCAGCAGUGGGGAAUAUUGCACAAUGGGCGCAAUCCUGAUGCAGCGAUGCCGCGUGUAUGAAGAAGGCCUUCGGGUUGUAAAGUACUUUCAGCGGGGAGGCGUUACCCGCAGAAGAAGCACCGGCUAACUCCGUGCCAGCAGCCGCGGUAAUUC